UACGUAGGGGGCGAGCGUUGUCCUGAAUGAUUGGGCGUAAAGGGCGCGUAGGCGGCUGUGCAAGUCAGUAGUGGAAGCCCAGCUUUUAAGGUUGGAAGUGCUAUUGAAACUGUGCAGCUUGAGUGCAGGAGAGGUUAUCGGAAUUCCCGGUGUAGCGGUGAAAUGCGUAGAGAUCGGGAGGAACACCAGUGGCGAAGGCGGGUGACUGGACUGCAACUGACGCUGAGGCGCGAAAGUGUGGGGAGCAAACAGGAUUAGA
rnacentral:rRNA from 1 species